UGGGGAAUUUUGGACAAUGGGCGAAAGCCUGAUCCAGCAAUGCCGCGUGUGUGAAGAAGGCCUUCGGGUUGUAAAGCACUUUUGUCCGGAAAGAAAUCCUCUGGGUUAAUACCUCGGGGGGAUGACGGUACCGGAAGAAUAAGCACCGGCUAACUACGUGCCAGCAGCCGCGGUAAUACGUAGGGUGCAAGCGUUAAUCGGAAUUACUGGGCGUAAAGCGUGCGCAGGCGGUUUUGUAAGACGGAUGUGAAAUCCCCGGGCUUAACCUGGGAACUGCAUUCGUGACUGCAAGGCUAGAGUAUGGCAGAGGGGGGUAGAAUUCCACGUGUAGCAGUGAAAUGCGUAGAGAUGUGGAGGAAUACCGAUGGCGAAGGCAGCCCCCUGGGCCAAUACUGACGCUCAUGCACGAAAGCGUGGGGGAGCAAACAGGAUUAGAUACCCUGGUAGUCCACGCCCUAAAACGAUGUCAACUAGUUGUUGGGGGAUUCAUUUCCUUAGUAACGUAGCUAACGCGUGAAGUUGACCGCCU
rnacentral:rRNA from 1 species